rnacentral:misc_RNA from 1 species
UGUGGGAGCGGGCUUGCCCGCGAUGGCGGUGGGUCAGCCAAAUAUCUCUAACCCGGCACUCCGCUAUCGCGGGCAAGCCCGCUCCCACA